rfam:Rozella allomycis CSF55 unplaced genomic scaffold scaffold_2735, whole genome shotgun sequence.
GACAGCGUGUCCGAGUGGUUAAGGAGCAUGCCUAGAAAGCAUGUGGGUUUACCCGCACAGGUUCGAGUCCUGUCGCUGUCG